rnacentral:rRNA from 1 species
UACGUAGGGGGCGAGCGUUGUCCGGAAUUACUGGGCGUAAAGAGAGCGUAGGCGGCACUACAAGUCUCAUGUGAAAUACCCGGGCUUAACUUGGGGGUUGCAUGGGAAACUGUAGAGCUUGAGUACAGGAGAGGCAAGCGGAAUUCCUAGUGUAGCGGUGAAAUGCAUAGAUAUUAGGAGGAACACCAGUGGCGAAGGCGGCUUGCUGGACUGAAACUGACGCUGAGGCUCGAAAGCGUGGGGAGCAAACAGG